rnacentral:rRNA from 1 species
UACGAAGGGGGCUAGCGUUGCUCGGAAUCACUGGGCGUAAAGGGUGCGUAGGCGGGUCUUUAAGUCAGGGGUGAAAUCCUGGAGCUCAACUCCAGAACUGCCUUUGAUACUGAAGAUCUUGAGUUCGGGAGAGGUGAGUGGAACUGCGAGUGUAGAGGUGAAAUUCGUAGAUAUUCGCAAGAACACCGGUGGCGAAGGCGACAUCCUGGACCGGUAUUGACGCUGAGGCGCGAAAGCCAGGGGAGCAAACGGG